GAUGAACGCUGGCGGCGUGCCUAAUACAUGCCAGUCGAGCGAACAGAUAAGGAGCUUGCUCCUUUGACGUUAGCGGCGGACGGGUGAGUAACACGUGGGUAACCUACCUAUAAGACUGGGAUAACUCCGGGAAACCGGAGCUAAUGCCGGAUAACAUGUUGAACCGCAUGGUUCUACAGUGAAAGGCGGCUUUGCUGUCACUUAUAGAUGGACCCGCGCCGCAUUAGCUAGUUGGUGAGGUAACGGCUCACCAAGGCAACGAUGCGUAGCCGACCUGAGAGGGUGAUCGGCCACACUGGAACUGAGACACGGUCCAGACUCCUACGGGAGGCAGCAGUAGGGAAUCUUCCGCAAUGGGCGAAAGCCUGACGGAGCAACGCCGCGUGAGUGAUGAAGGUCUUCGGAUCGUAAAACUCUGUUAUUAGGGAAGAACAAAUGUGUAAGUAACUGUGCGCGUCUUGACGGUACCUAAUCAGAAAGCCACGGCUAACUACGUG
rnacentral:rRNA from 1 species